AAGACUAUAGACCUGCGGAGUACCUGCGGAGGGAUCAUUAACGUAUCUAUGAUGGGGUGCGGAGCGCCCUGCUCCGGUCGAACGGCCGUGCAGCGGGUGCGCCGCCCCCGUCCCACCUCACAAACCCACUGUGAACAUUCACCGGUGGUGGGGGCUCGGUCUGCGCCGUGUCCCCGAUGCCGAAUACCCAAACUCCAGUUGCAAAGAACGUCGUGCGGACUCGGUGCCGCCUAAAACAUG
rnacentral:misc_RNA from 1 species